AGUUGUACGCGUUCUACGUUUUCGACCAGGCAAUUCCGGAGCGCUCUCUGCUCCAUCUUUAGCAUUUGGGGUUUUGGGGCCGUGCUUCCAAAUCCAUUCGUGUCCUACCAGGUCAGAUAUGUCCCACGUCUCCUCCGAUAUGGUCGAUAACGUCUCCAUGCCUGGAACUCCCGUCUCUGGGCGCGACAGCGGUGCAUCAUUAAGAAGCUGGACGGUGCCUAGAUUGGUCGCCGAACUCAACCGCAGGGGGAUACGGCAUCCGGCGUCUGCUCGCAAGGCCGAAUUGUAUCGCCUGCUGAUGACGGCCCCGGCCC